GGACGUAGCUCAAGCAGUAGCGCGCUCGCCUGGCAUGUGUGUGGCCUGGGUUCGAUCCUCAGCACCA
rnacentral:tRNA from 1 species